CCGACCUUGGCUCAGUUGGUAGAGCGGAGGACUGCAGAUCCUUAGGUCGCUGGUUUGAAUCCGGCAGGUCUGA